UACGUAGGGGGCGAGCGUUGUCCGAAGUUACUGGGCGUAAAGAGCGCGUAGGCGGGUCUUUAAGUGAGGGGUGAAAGGUUCGGGCUCAACCCGGACACUGCCUUUCAUACUGGGGACCUUGAGUGCGGGAGGGGCGAGUGGAAUGGUCGGUGUAGCGGUGAAAUGCGUAGAUAUCGAUCGGAACACCCAUGGCGAAGGCAGCUCGCUGGCCUGCAACUGACGCUGAGGCACGAAAGCGUGGGGAGCAAACAGG
rnacentral:rRNA from 1 species